UAGAGGAAGUAAAAGUCGUAACAAGGUUUCCGUAGGUGAACCUGCGGAAGGAUCAUUACCGAGUGAGGGCCCUCUGGGUCCAACCUCCCACCCGUGUUUAUUUUACCUUGUUGCUUCGGCGGGCCCGCCUUAACUGGCCGCCGGGGGGCUUACGCCCCCGGGCCCGCGCCCGCCGAAGACACCCUCGAACUCUGUCUGAAGAUUGUAGUCUGAGUGAAAAUAUAAAUUAUUUAAAACUUUCAACAACGGAUCUCUUGGUUCCGGCAUCGAUGAAGAACGCAGCGAAAUGCGAUACGUAAUGUGAAUUGCAAAUUCAGUGAAUCAUCGAGUCUUUGAACGCACAUUGCGCCCCCUGGUAUUCCGGGGGGCAUGCCUGUCCGAGCGUCAUUUCUGCCCUCAAGCACGGCUUGUGUGUUGGGCCCCGUCCUCCGAUCCCGGGGGACGGGCCCGAAAGGCAGCGGCGGCACCGCGUCCGGUCCUCGAGCGUAUGGGGCUUUGUCACCCGCUCUGUAGGCCCGGCCGGCGCUUGCCGAUCAACCCAAAUUUUUAUCCAGGUUGACCUCGGAUCAGGUAGGGAUACCCGCUGAACUUAAGCAUAUCAAUAA
rnacentral:misc_RNA from 1 species